GGGUGAUUAGCUCAGUUGGUAGAGCAGCUGACUCUUAAUCAGCGGGUCGCCGGUUCGAUCCCGGCAUCACCCA
rnacentral:tRNA from 4 species